GCCAGGCACAGUGGCGCAUGCCUGUAGUCCCAGCUACUUGGGAGUCUGAGGUGGGAGGAUCCCUUGAGCCCAGGAGUUCUGGGCUGAAGUGCGUUAUGCUGAUGGGUGCCCACACUGUUUGGCAUCAAUAUGGUGACCUCCUGGGAGCAGGAGACCACCAGGUUGCCUAAGGAGGGGUGAGAACAAACCAGAUCAAAACUCCCCCGCUGAUCAGUAGUGGGAUUGCGCCUGUGAAUAGCCACUGCACUCCAGCCUGGGCAACAUAGUGAGACAUCAUCUCU
rnacentral:SRP_RNA from 1 species